rnacentral:rRNA from 1 species
CAGCCGCCGCGGUAAUACGUAGGGUCCGAGCGUUGUCCGGAAUUAUUGGGCGUAAAGGGCUCGUAGGCGGUUUGUUGCGUCGGGAGUGAAAACCCAGGGCUUAACUUUGGGCUUGCUUUCGAUACGGGCAGACUUGAGGCAUUGAGGGGAGAACGGAAUUCCUGGUGUAGCGGUGAAAUGCGCAGAUAUCAGGAGGAACACCGGUGGCGGAGGCGGUUCUCUGGCAAUGUUCUGACGCUGAGGAGCGAAAGUGUGGGGAGCGAACAGGAUUAGAUACCCCUGUAGUCCCUGUCUCUUAUAC